UACGUAGGUGGCGAGCGUUGUCCGAUUUACUGGGCGUAAAGAGCGCGCAGGCGGUCGUACAAGUCGCGUGUGAAAGCCCCCGGCUCAACUGGGGAGGGUCACGCGAUACUGUUCGACUCGAAGGCAGGAGAGGGUAGUGGAAUUCCCGGUGUAGUGGUGAAAUGCGUAGAUAUCGGGAGGAACACCAGUGGCGAAGGCGACUACCUGGCCUGUUCUUGACGCUGAGGCGCGAAAGCUAGGGUAGCAAACGGGG
rnacentral:rRNA from 1 species